rnacentral:rRNA from 1 species
UACGUAGGGUGCGAGCGUUACUCGGAAUUACUGGGCGUAAAGCGUGCGCAGGCGGUUUGUUAAGUUCGUUGUGAAAGCCCCGGGCUCAACCUGGGAACUGCAAUGGAAACUGGCGGGCUUGAGUGUGGCAGAGGGGGGUGGAAUUCCCGGUGUAGCAGUGAAAUGCGUAGAGAUGGGGAGGAACACCGAUGGCGAAGGCAGCCCCCUGGGCCGACACUGACGCUCAGGCACGAAAGCGUGGGGAGCAAACAGG